AGAAGCGCCAGCGCUUUUCGCAGACAGGUCUGCGGAAAGACGACGAGGAGAGAGGUCAUCGAAGAUUUCGGCGGGUGCCUCUCCGUGCCGUCCGGGUGCGUACACAGCCAGGAAAUAUGCGGGCGACCGCAAAACAAAGGGGCUG
rnacentral:ncRNA from 1 species